rnacentral:rRNA from 1 species
UACGUAGGGACCAAGCGUUGUCCGGAUUUAUUGGGCGUAAAGAGCGUGUAGGCGGCCAUACAGGUCAGCUGUGAAAACUCGAGGCUCAACCUCGAGACGUCGGUUGAAACCGUAUGGCUAGAGUCCGGAAGAGGAGAGUGGAAUUCCCGGUGUAGCGGUGAAAUGCGCAGAUAUCGGGAAGAACACCCGUGGCGAAGGCGGCUCUCUGGGACGGUACUGACGCUGAGACGCGAAAGCGUGGGGAGCGAACAGG